rnacentral:rRNA from 1 species
CCUACGGGAGGCAGCAGUAGGGAAUCUUCCACAAUGGGCGAAAGCCUGAUGGAGCAACGCCGCGUGGGUGAAGAAGGUCCUCGGAUCGUAAAACUCUGUUGUUAGAGUAGAAAGUGCGUGAGAGUAACUGUUCACGUUUCGACGGUAUCUAACCAGAAAGCCACGGCUAACUACGUGCCAGCAGCCGCGGCAAUACGUAGGUGGCAAGCGUUAUCCGGAUUUAUUGGGCGUAAAGGGAACGCAGGCGGUCUUUUAAGUCUGAUGUGAAAGCCUUCGGCUUAACCGGAGUAGUGCAUUGGAAACUGGGAGACUUGAGUGCAGAAGAGGGGAGUGGAACUCGAGGUGUAGCGGUGAAAUGCGUAGAUAUAUGGAAGAACACCAGUGGCGAAAGCGGCUCUCUGGUCUGUAACUGACGCUGAGGUUCGAAAGCGUGGGUAGCAAACAGGAUUAGAUACCCUUGUAGUC